UUUCCGUAGGAGAACCUGCGGAAGGAUCAUUACAGAGUUCAUGCCCUCACGGGUAGAUCUCCCACCCUUGAAUAUUUAUACCUUAGUUGCUUUGGCAGGCCGUGGAAACACCAUGGGCUCCGGCUUAUGCGUGCCUGCCAGAGGAAACAAACUCUGUUUUUAGUGAUGUCUGAGUACUAUAUAAUAGUUAAAACUUUCAACAACGGAUCUCUUGGUUCUG
rnacentral:misc_RNA from 1 species